AUUCUGGUGGAUGUAAAUCGCAGAAAAUGACAACCAGAAACUUUCUGAACAGUUGUUCCCAGACUUUUGCAGAUUGUACCUGACUUUUGUCUUCAGAUGACCAACAGGAUUUUAUACAGCCUGUUCUAACCAGGUUAGAGAUCAUGGCGACGAGCGUUCGCUGGAGCAGAGGGCGACUGCUUCAAUCUGAAGUGGUUGAUGAAAUGCUUUUGCUCAUUAGCGAGCUAACGAUCAACAACAACCUGUUGGUCCUGGUUUCACCGUACCUCGAACGGGAGGACAGACAGGAAGGCCGGUUCCUGUCUGUCUCCUUGGGUGUCUCUAGAAGAACAGUGAACCGAUGAUUAAGACAGUACAAUCUCUCUUUUAGGGGUCGCUACACGGAUCUAACAGAUGAUGCACUUGAUAACCAUGUGCUGGAUAUCAUCUCUGGCAAUGAUGAAAUAGGACCAGAAGCUGUCAAGCCCUGGCUUGUGGGUGAGGGUGUCAUAGUCCAGAGAUGGCGUGUGAGGCAAAGUGUCAUCAGGACUAAUCCUGAAGGUGCUGCUAACAAUGUUUCCUCUAUGUUGAUUUUGCCGUGGCGGCCCAAAAAGCCAAGGCCAACAGGACAUAAUUACUACAUACCCGUCGCCCUGACCUCUGUGGUAAUGAAGUAUUUAGAGCGCCUGGUGCUGGCACACCUUAAAUCCAUCACAGACCCUCUACUGGACCCCUGCAGUUUGCCUACAGAGCCACCAGGUCAAUGGACGAUGCAGUUAAUCUCUGUUAAAUGUUAUCGCUCCUAUGAGCGAAAGUGCGUGAGAGGGUGCAAAAAUUGAAUCGGCGAAAGCAGAAUGAAGCAACAAGUUCGUGGCUAUGUCUUGAUAUAAUUCAUUGUUUGGACCAGAGGCGUUGUUAGACAUAAAACUCUACUGGGGCACAGGCCCCUAUUCAUAUCCCUUUUUUUCUUUCACGCUUGCUGCGCACAAUGCACUACUAGGCUAUAGAAACUCCCCUUGUUUAACCCACUAUACAACAGUUCAGGGACGCAAGUUUGAUAUCAGCUUUGGCAGGGACAGCAAUAGUUAAUGCGAGGGCACAUUUUUUCGCAUUAAUUUGAGUGCAAAUACAGUUUUUUUUUUUAGCUUCAUGUAAUAAUGUUUUUAUGUUUUAGUCAAAAUAAGAUUAUCGGUAGGCCGCUCAUUUAGAAACUAUCUUUAGUUUAGUAAUGUUUUCUUAGCCUACCUCAAUUCUGACUUGUGUGCCGAGUCCGACACCUGGACUUCUGUGUGUGUGCUGCAGUGGCUAUUUGGCAAGCUCAGAAGAGCGCGCUGACAUGGAAUUCUGUGGGCAUCGGUUUGUGUUUUCGGUUAAACACUUUUACAACCGUUGAUUGGGAUCCUGCGUUUAUUUUUUCCGGGAUUAUCAAUCUAAAUUAAUGCACUGACAAAUAAAGUAAAUUGUUAAAACUCAAACUUUUGAAUUUACUGGGGCAAAGCAGAUUCAUACUGGGGCACAUGCCCCAGUAAAAAGGGUCUAAUGACGCCCAUGGUUUGGACAAACUGGUUAGAUAGUUUGGACCUUUGGGAAUGUAACCAGUCCAUUUUUAUUCAGAUUGUUUGCAUACCUGGACCAGGCUGAACCUUUUAGGGUGAGUAGAAUAGUUUGCUUUUGCUUUGUUUACAUAUUUGUGACUGGACAAAGACGUUGACUGAACUUGCUGUUGCGACUUGAUCUUGAGCUCUGCCUUCAAUACCAUCAUCCCGCCCUGCUUCAGGACAAGCUCUCCCAGCUGAACGUGCCUGAUUCCACCUGCAGGUGGAUCACAGACUUCCUGUCUGACAGGAAGCAGUGCGUUAAGCUGGGAACACAAGUCUCUGACUCCCAGUCCAUCAGCACUGGAUCACCCCAGGGCUGCAUCCUUUCUCCUCUGCUUUUCUCCCUGUACACCAACAGCUGCACCUCUAGUCAUCCGUCAAACUCCUGAAGUUUGCGGACGACACCACCAUCAUUGGGCUCAUCUCUGGUGGAGACGAGUCUGAUUAUAGGUGUGAAGCGGCCAACCUGGUGACCUGGUGCAGCCAGAACAACCUAGAGCUCAAUGCUCUUAACCCUUGUGCUGCCUUCGGGUCACAUGACCAACGAACCAUCGUUGUGUUUACCCAAUACAAAAACAAAACAAAAAAAAAUUAUUUUAACCUUUGCAAUGUGGGGGGUCUGAGACAGCCCAACGGUUAAAAGAAAAUGCUUCACUUUGUUUUUGUAUGCGGUAAAGUUGUCGCAAUACAACGGUGGGUCACAAUGACUGAUGGGUCAGAAUGACCCGAAGAUAACACAAGGGUUAAGACAGUGGAGAUGGUUGUGGACUUCAGGAAGAAUACAGCCCCAC